UUUUUGCAAUCUGUAUUUCUUCAUACAUAUUUAAAUAGGAUAUGGACAUAUGACUCAUCAACUCUGGCAUCUAGAAAUGCAACCAUUUAUUGCGGAGCCAAAAUUAUGUCACUUGACUGGGAAUGUAAAUCUGACCGAUUGCUUCUCAUAGGCACUGCUGAUGGAGGCAUUAAAGCAUGGAAUGUCGAUGCAAAGAGAGUUGUCUGCGAUCUUAAUACGAGUGAAGCAUUUCCAAGUGUCUUGGAUAUAAAAUGCAGCCCUGUAGAGCCAAUAUUUGUUUCUGCAGCAGCAUCCAAGGGGCAUGGAUCAAGUCACCUUGAUAGUCUCGGGUCCGCUUCAUUAACUGUGUGGAACAUGAAGACAUGGAAGGCUAUGACAGUUCUUCCUCUUGGUAAAGAUCCACCUGCAAUUACAUCCCUUAGUUUCAAUCACAAUGGAAAGAUUUUAGCAGCCACUGCAACUGAUGGAAUGAUUCACGUGUUUGAUACGUCUGCCGGUCUACAAAUAACUGGGUGGCCAGCACACGACCCUGCUAUAAGCUCCAUUCUUUUUGGGCCUGAUGAGACAAGUAUUUUCAGUUUGGGAGUAGAUGGAAAGGUUCUUGAAUGGAGCUUGCAAAACCAAGGUCAAAUCCUUUGGUCAAGAAACUGUAGCAGAUUUUGUGACCCUGAGAGCUCAAAAAAUUGCAGACAUGAAAUGGCUUUAGAUGCUAAUGGGAGGAGACUGUUGGGAACCUCUGGUUUAGUAAGAGCACCCAUAUAUCAGGAGUUGAGAUUAUUCUUGGCUGAAGUAUUAUUUACGAUCUCUCUCUCUCUCUCUCUGCUCUUCGUAUUUUUCUCAACAUUUAUGUGUUAAUUUAAUGCCUGGUAUUGUUUUGGAACCAUAAUCAAUUUUGGAGAAUGGUUUUUAUUUUGGUUAAUUUCACGAAGUGGUUGGAGCAGAAACCACCUGCCACCAACAUGUCAAGGUGCUGAGAUAGAGCUAGGCCUAAUCUAUGAAGGACAAUUAUGCUGGAUUAGCUCUUGGAGAGUUGCGAAAGGAAAAUAAUUUCCUAAGAAGCCUUUGGCCAGUAACUAAUCCACCUUCAAGUCAAGAACAUC